rnacentral:rRNA from 1 species
AACCGACUGAAGUUGAAAAAUCAGUGGAUGAGUUGUGGUUAGCGGUGAAAUGCCAAUCGAACCCAGAGCUAGCAGGUUCUCCCCGAAAUGCGUUGAGGCGCAGCAGUUAACUGGAUAUCUAGGGGUAAAGCACUGUUUCGGCGCGGGCCGCGAGAGCGAUACCAAAUCGAGGCAAACUCUGAAUACUAGAUAUGAUCCCGACGGGUCAAGGUCGGCCAGUGAGAUGAUGGGGGAUAAGCUUCUUCGUCGAGAGGGAAACAGCUCAGAUCACCAGCUAAGGCCCCUAAAUGAUCGCUCAAUGAUAAAGGAGGUAGAAGUGCAGAGACAACCAGGAGGUUUGCCUAGAAGCAGCCACCCUUCAAAGAGUGCGUAAUAGCUCACUGAUCGAGCGCUCUUACGCCGAAGAUGAACGGGGCUAAGCAAUUUGCCGAAGCUGUGGGAUGUAAAAAUGAAUCGGUAGGGGAGCGUUCCGCCUUAGAAAGAAGUACCCGCGCGAGCAGGGUUGGACGAAGUGGAAGCGAGAAUAUCGGCUUGAGUAACGAAAACAUUUGUGAGAAUCCAAUGCCCCGAAAACCUAAGGAUUCCUCCGCAAGGUUCGUCCACGGAAGGUAAGUCAACACCUAAGAUCAGGCCGAAAGGCGUAGUCGAUGGACAACAGGUUAAUAUUCCUGUACUGCCCCAUGUUGGUCCCGAGGGACGGAGGAGGCUAGGUUAGCCGAAAGAUGGUUAUCGAUUCAAGAACAUAAGGUGACUCCCUGUUUUUUCAGGGUAAGUAAGGGGUAGAGAAAAUGCCUCAAACCAAAAUUCGAGUACGAGUACGACGCGCACACUCUGACGCUAAAGUAAUUGAUGCCAUACUCCCAGGAAAAGUUCGAACGACCUACAACAAGAGGGUACCUGUACCGGAAACCGACACAGGUGGGUAGGUAGAGAAUACCUAGGGGCACGAGACAACUCUCUCUAAGGAACUCGGCAAAAUAGCCCCGUAACUUCGGGAGAAGGGGUGCCUCCCUCUAGGCCCAGGCGACUGUUUACCAAAAACACAGCUCUCUGCAAAGUCGUAAGACCAUGUAUGAGGGCUGACGCCUGCCCAGUGCCGAAUGGUUAAGGAAGUUGGUGACUUGAUGACAGGGAAGCAGGCGACCGAAGCCCCGGUGAACGGCGUCCGUAACUAUAACGGUCAUAAGGUAGCGAAAUUCCUUGUCGGGUAAGUUCCGACCCGCACGAAAGGCGUAACGAUCUGGGCACUGUCUCGGAGAGAGACUCAGUGAAAUAGACAUGUCUGUGAAGAUGCGGACUACCUGCACCUGGACAGAAAGACCCUAUGAAGCUUCACUGUUCCCUGGGAUUGGCUGUGGGCUUUUCCUGCGCAGCUUAGGUGGAAGGCAAAGAAGGCCCCUUUCUGGGGGGGCUCGAGCCAUCAGUGAGAUACCACUCUGGAAGAGCUAGAAUUCUAACCUUGUGCCAAGAUAGACCAAGGGACAGUCUCAGGUAGACAGUUUCUAUAGGGCGUAGGCCUCCCAAAAGGUAACGGAGGCGUGCAAAGGUUUCCUCGGGCCAGAUGGAGAUUGUCCCUCGAGUGCAAAGGUAAAAGGGAGCUUGACUGCAAGAUCCACCCGUCGAGCAGGGACGAAAGUUGGCCUUAGUGAUCCGACGGUGCUGAGUGGAAGGGCCGUCGCUCAACGGAUAAAAGUUACUCUAGGGAUAACAGGCUGAUCUUCCCCAAGAGCUCACAUCGACGGGAAGGUUUGGCACCUCGAUGUCGGCUCUUCGCCACCUGGAGCUAUAGUAGGUUCCAAGGGUUGGGUUGUUCGCCCAUUAAAGCGGUACGUGAGUUGGGUUCAGAACAUCGUGAGACAUUUCGGUCCAUAUCCGGUGUGGGCGUUAGAGCAUUGAGAGGAUAUUUCCCUAGUACGAGAGGACCGGGAAGGACGCACCUCUGGUGUGCCAGUUAUCGUUCCAACGGUAAACGCUGGGUAGCCAAGUGCGGAGCGGAUAACUGCUGAAAGCAUCUAAGUAGUAAGCCCACCCUAAGAUGAGUGGUCUCCUAUUCCAACUUCCCCAUAGCCUCUCCUAUUACAAAAUUUCUGAUCACUAGACCAUAUAGAAUGCUCUCCUAGGCCUCUUCGAUUUUUUCAAGUCUGUUUUCAAUCUCGUCGUUCUGGUCCUCUUUCCGUCUCUCUUCUUGCACUUUCUGAAACU